rnacentral:rRNA from 1 species
AGAGUUUGAUCCUGGCUCAGAACGAACGCUGGCGGCGUGCUUAACACAUGCAAGUCAAGGAGAAAGUCUCUUCGGGGGCGAGUAAACUGGCGCACGGGUGAGUAACGCGUGAGGAACCUGCCCAUAUGUUUGGGAUAACCUGCUGAAAAGCGGGCUAAUACUGGAUAUAUUGUUUACCGCAUGGUGGACAAGGAAAGUUGGUGCAAGCUAACGCAUAUGGAUGGUCUCGCGUCUGAUUAGCUAGUUGGUGGGGUAAAGGCUCACCAAGGCAACGAUCAGUAGCCGGUCUGAGAGGGUGGCCGGCCACACUGGGACUGAGACACGGCCCAGACUCCUACGGGAGGCAGCAGUGGGGAAUUUUGCACAAUGGGGGCAACCCUGAUGCAGCGACGCCGCGUGAACGAGGAAGGCCUUCGGGUCGUAAAGUUCUUUCGACGGGGAAGAAAUGUUAUACGAGUAACUGCGUAUAAUUGACGGUACCCG